CAGCCGCCGCGGUAAAACGAGGGGUGCAAGCGUUAUUCGGAUUGAUUGGGUGUAAAGGGUGUGCAGACGGCUUAUUAAGUCACUUGUUAAAUUCUUCGGCCUAACUGAAGGUCUGCAAGUGAUACUGAUGAGCUAGAGGGUGGAAGAGAGAAGUGGAAUUCUCGGAGUAGCGGUAAAAUGCGUAGAUCUCGAGAGGAACACCAAUGGCGAAGGCAGCUUCUUGGUCCAUUCCUGACGUACAUACACGAAAGCGUGGGGAGCAAACAGGAUUAGAUACCCCCGUAGUCCCUGUCUCUUAUAC
rnacentral:rRNA from 1 species